GAAAGUAAGCAAGGGCGUACGGGGGAUGCCUAGGUAGGCUCUUGGAGGCGAAGAAGGACGUGUUAAGCUGCGAAAAGCUGCGGGGAUUUGCAAAAGAGAGUUGAUCCGCAGAUAUCCGAAUGGGGCAACCCGGCAGAUAGGAGAUCUGUCACAUCGAGAGAUGAGCGAACCCUAUGAACUGAAACAUCUAAGUAAUAGGAGGAGGAGAAAGAAACAUCGAUUUCCCGAGUAGUGGCGAGCGAAAAGGAAAUAGCCCAAACCGGUGUUGUUACGGCAACGUCGGGGUUGUAGGACUGCGAAAUCUUAAUACGAACGAACGGGAACAUGCUGGAAAGCGUGACCAUAGAGGGUGAAAGUCCCGUACCGGUAAGUUGCGUAAGCGGAAGCAGUAUCCUGAGUAUGGCGGGACACGAGGAAUCCUGUCAGAACCCGCGGGGACCACCCCGCAAGGCUAAAUACUCCCAAGAGACCGAUAGUGGACCAGUACCGUGAGGGAAAGGUGAAAAGUACCCCGAACAGGGGAGUGAAAAAGAACCUGAAACCGUACGCUUACAACCUGUCGGAGCGGCUUAGUGCCGUGACGGCGUGCCUUUUGCAUAAUGAGCCUACGAGUUACUAAUCACUAGCGAGGUUAAGGGCUAUAAGGUCCGGAGCCGAAGCGAAAGCGAGUCUGAAUAGGGCGCAAAGUUAGUGGUUGUAGACGCGAAACCUUGCGAUCUACCCAUGAGCAGGAUGAAAGUUGGGUAAAACCACCUGGAGGUCCGCACCGGUAAACGUUGAAAAGUUUUCGGAUGACUUGUGGGUAGGGGUGAAAGGCUAAUCAAGCUGGGAAAUAGCUCGUACUCCCCGAAAUGCUUUUAGGAGCAGCGUUGCAAUAGUAUACUGGAGGUAGAGCUACUGAUUGGAUGCGGGGGCUUCACCGCCUACCAAAUCCUGACAAACUCCGAAUGCCAGUAUUAUGUUUUGCAGCAGUGAGCCGCCGGGUGCUAAUGUCCGGCGACAAAAGAGGAACAACUCAGACCAUCAUCUAAGGCCCCGAAGAAUACACUAAGUUGAACUAACGAUGUGCGACUGCAGCGACAGCUAGGAUGUUAGCUUGGAAGCAGCUAUUCAUUUAAAGAGUGCGUAACAGCUCACUAGUCGAGCGGUUGUGCGUGGAUAAUAAACGGGCAUCAAGUGUAUCGCCGAAGCUAUGGACUCUACGGAGUGGUAGGGGAGCAUUCCAUCGACGUUGAAGCCGUGUCGUAAGGCAUGGUGGAGUUUAUGGAAAAGCAAAUGUAGGCAUAAGUAACGAUAAGGCGGGAGAGAAACCCGCCCACCGCAAGACCAAGGUUUCCUGAUCAACGCUAAUCGGAUCAGGGUUAGUCGGGUCCUAAGGGUAAGCCGUCAGGUGAUCUCGAUGGACAAUCGGUUAAUAUUCCGAUACCGAUGCAUACUGCGACGGAGGGACGGAGAAGCGUAAGCUGCGCCAACAUACGGAAUUGUUGGUUAAAGAGCGUAGGUAUAGGACGACGUUAAUAGCGACGUUUUGCUGAAACUCGACAGUACCGAGCGGCUACGGCCAAUCGGAUAGUCAGCCCAAGCAAGCUUCCGAGAAAAACUUCUAAGCUUCAGGUAUGCAUCGCCCGUACCGUAAACCGACACAGGUGGUCGAGGAGAGUAUCCUCAGGUGCUUGAGUGAAUCACGGAUAAGGAACUAGGCAAAUUGACCCCGUAACUUAGGGAUAAGGGGUCCCCACGUGAGUGGGGCGCAGCGAAAAGGUCCAGGCAACUGUUUAACAAAAACAUAGGGCUAUGCUAAUUCGAGAGAAGACGUAUAUGGCCUGACACCUGCCCGGUGCUGGAAGGUUAAGAGGGGAUGUUAGCGCAAGCGAAGCAUUGAAUCGAAGCCCCAGUAAACGGCGGCCGUAACUAUAACGGUCCUAAGGUAGCGAAAUUCCUUGUCGGGUAAGUUCCGACCUGCACGAAUGG
rnacentral:rRNA from 1 species